GUGCACCAGGCGAGAAAACUUCACACUGUGCGAAAGCACGAUGAGGGAAUCCCAAGUGCUUGCACGUAAGUGUAAGCUGUUUCUCUGUCUAAAACGCAGAGAGAGUAAGGGCUGGGUAAGACGGGUGCCAGCCGCCACGGUAAUACCUGCAGCUCAAGUGGUGACCGUUAUUAUUGGGCCUAAAACGUCCGUAGCCGGUUUAAUAAAUGCCUGGGUAAAUUGUGUAGCUUAACUAUACGAAUCCCGGGUAGACUGUUAAACUUGAGACCGGGAGAAGUUAGAGGUACUCCUGGGGUAGAGGUGAAAUUCUGUAAUCCUAGGGGGACCACCAGUGGCGAAGGCGUCUAACUAGAACGGGUCUGACGGUGAGGGGACGAAGCCCUGGGGCGCAAACGGGAUUAGAUACCCGUGUAGU
rnacentral:rRNA from 1 species